rnacentral:rRNA from 1 species
AGAGUUUGAUUAUGGCUCAGAUUGAACGCUGGCGGUAUGCUUAACACAUGCAAGUCGAACGGAAACGGAACUAGCUUGCUAGUAGACGUCGAGUGGCGGACGGGUGAGUAACGCGUAGGAAUCUGCCUGAUAGUGGGGGAUAGCCCGAAGAAAUUCGGAUUAAUACCGCAUAAUCUAUUCGUAGUAAAGUGGGGGACUUUCGAGCCUCACGCUAUCAGAUGAGCCUGCGUAAGAUUAGCUUGUUGGUAGGGUAAAAGCCUACCAAGGCAACGAUCUUUAGCUGGUCUGAGAGGAUGAUCAGCCACAUCGGGACUGAGACACGGCCCGAACUCCUACGGGAGGCAGCAGUGGGGAAUAUUGGACAAUGGGGGCAACCCUGAUCCAGCAAUACCGCGUGUGUGAAGAAGGCCUGAGGGUUGUAAAGCACUUUCAAUUGUGAAGAAAAGUUAACGGCUAAUAACCGUUGACCUUGACGUUAACUUUAGAAGAAGCACCGGCUAACUCCGUGCCAGCCGCCGCGGUAAUUC